rnacentral:rRNA from 1 species
GACGGAGGGUGCGAGCGUUGUCCGGAAUCACUGGGCGUAAAGGGCGCGUAGGCGGCACGGCAAGUCAGGAGUGAAAGGCCUGGGCUCAACCGAGGAACUGCUUUUGAGACUGCCGAGCUAGAGUGCAGAAGGGGCAACUGGAAUUCCCAGUGUAGCGGUGAAAUGCGUAGAUAUUGGGAAGAACACCUGAGGCGAAGGCGGGUUGCUGGGCUGACACUGACGCUGAGGCGCGAAAGCCAGGGGAGCAAACGGG